rnacentral:misc_RNA from 1 species
GCGAUCUCCGUCUUCCUCUCUUACCUUCCUCGCCCAGCGUUCAAACCAAAAAAAAAAACAAAAGGAAAAGAGCAUGAAAUCGAUCUAAACCCUCUGAUCAAAACAAAAUAAUAAAUGAUCACCUGAAAAGCUCAACCAAUCCAAAUUCACUUUUGUUUUUGGGAAUUAGAGAAUGAAACUUCUCUUUUCUCUCCUCUUUUUCUCUCUCGCUUUCUCCUCUUUCCUCUCAUCAUCCGUCGCCAGAGGCGGAGAACGUGCUUCUCUAUGUUCAGGCACUAAUAAUGUCAGUAGUUAUGUGAAUUAUGCUAGGCGGUUUCUUGUUGAGGAUGACCAAUCUCAGGGAAGUGUUGAUAAGGCUCGUGGAUACUUGACUAACUCUGAUCUUGAAAAAGCUGUGAAGGAAUUUGGGGAAAGAUGCAGUAGCAUUUCUAGGAUUUAUAGGUGAUUACUAUAUAUUUUUGCUGUAAUAAUUGUUAGCAAUAGCCAGCUGGAGUUGUGCGUUAAAGGGC